UACGGAGGGGGCAAGCGUUAUUCGGAAUCAUUGGGCGUAAAGGGCGUGUAGGCGGCUUCGUGUGUCUUAUGUGAAGGCCCUCGGCUCAACCGGGGAACUGCAUGGGAAACUGCGAAGCUUGAGUCCGGGAGAGGAGAGUGGAAUUCCCAGUGUAGCGGUGAAAUGCGUAGAUAUUGGGAGGAACACCAGUGGCGAAGGCGGCUCUCUGGACCGGUACUGACGCUGAGACGCGAAAGCCAGGGGAGCAAACGGG
rnacentral:rRNA from 1 species